AAUGAUGAGCCAAUAGGCUAAGAGGGGACGGGAGGAAGGACCAUGGGGCACCAACUUUUAGCGCUCCAACUUCUUAUGCAGUGAAAUAAAUCAUUGUAAUUUAUUUUUGGCAUAGAAAUACCUUCACACAGAAGGACUUCUCCUCUUUUGCACCCCAUAAAUUCCCCAUAAUAAAUCAGCAUGAAAUAAAUAGAGUUCUGGAUGAGAAAUGAAGAGAUAACAUAAGAGUCUUCUUUCACAUUCCAAUGCAAAUUAAGAAGGGGCCAUAUUAAUAUUUUGGCA
rnacentral:lncRNA from 1 species